UCAAUGAAAGUCCGAACUAAUAAAAUUCACCCUGAAACAUUGUCAAUCACUUUCAAAUAAAUCCAUCUUUUUUUAACUGAAUUGUUCACAACUCUUGAACUAAUUGUUUGCCGAACUUAGGUCGAAUCCUAAAUUACUUUGGAUGAAAUUAUGAAUCGAAUGACACCCUAAUCAUAAUUUUGGAGGCACUUGUUGAUUAAAUAAAUUAUGUUAUUAUGAAAAUCAUUUCAAUGUUGAUUGUUCAAUAUUAGUGACAAUAAUAAGUGCAGUGUAGGUACAGAACUUUUGCAAUUUAAUCGAAAGUUAACAAAUGCAAAUAAUCAAUAUGUAUGAACUCAUUUUUUUUUAAUUACAACCAAUAUUUAAACGGUCUGUGUUUAUUUUGUAGCGCAUUUGUAUUGAAAAUGGAAGAGUUGAAAAAAAGAGAAAUGGAUGAUAGGUAGGUAUGUGUCACAAGUUACAAAUGUAUGUACCUAGUAAUUUCAACAAGUUAAAUGAAUAUAAUGAAACCAAUGUCACAUUCAGAAAAGAUAUCUUUCGAGAUUGAGAACCAAAACAAUCUUCCUGGAAGUUCUGGAUAUAAGUUCACUUAUAUGUAGGUAUUUAUAUGUAGCAACAUUUAUUUUCACUCAUUCAUUGUACAUAAUAUUUCAUAAAUAAUUUUUUUAGGUUGAGUAUAUCACCAUCAAUUAUUUAUUCCUGAAUAUACAAAACAAUACAUUUACACAGAUUGUUAAUAUGUAAAGAAAAUACAAUAAAGUUUAAAAUAAAUGAGA